AGUUUUCAUUUUUUCUAUAUAAAUAUUGUAGAUUUUGGAUUGUGAUUUAAAAAUUACGAUAACAAAAGUUUUUGUUGAUAUUUGAGUAUGCUUUUGUAAUUUUUGAUCAAUAGGUUUUAUUUUAUAAAUAAAAUUUCUAAGACCUGCUAUUUUUAGAAAGUUAUCAUUUUUGUAGAGAAAAUAUUGUAGAUUUGGGAUUGUGAUUUAGAAAUUAGGAUAACAAGAGUUUUUGUUGAUAGAUAGGUAUGCUUUAAAAAAUUUGAUCAAUUGGUUAUAAUUUUUAAAUAAAUUUUCCAAAACCUCUUAUUUUUGGUAAGUUAUAAUUUUUUUAGAUAAAUUUUGUAGAUUUGGGAUUGUGAUUUAGAAAUUAGGAUAACAAGAGUUUUUGUUGAUAGAUGGGUAUGUUUUUGUAAUUUUUGAUCAAUUGGUUGUAUUUUAUAAAUAAAAUAUCUAAGACCUGCUAUUUUUAGAAUGUUAUCAUUUUUGUAUAGAAAAUAUUGUAGAUUUGUGAUUGUGAUUUAGAAAUUAGGAUAACAAAAGUUUUUGGUUAUAGAUGGUAUGUUUUAAGAUUUUUUGAUCAAUAGGUUAUAAUUUUUAAAUAAAAUUUUCAAAACCUGCUAUUUUUGGAAAUUUAUCAUUUUUUUUAUAAGUAUUGUAGAUUUGGGAUUGUGAUUUAGAAAUUAGGAUAACAAGAGUUUUUGGUUAUGGAUGGGCAUGGCUUAAGAAUUUUUGAUCAAUAGGUUAUAAUUUUUAAAUAUAUUUUCCAAAACCUACUAUUUUGGGAAAGUUGUCAUUUUUUGAUAAAUAUUGUAGAUUUGGGAUUGUCAUUUAUAAAUUAGGAUAACAAGAAUUUUGUUGAUAGAUAAGUAUGCUUUAAGAAUUUUUGAUCAAUAGGUUAUAAUUUUUUUUUAAACAAAUUCUAAAACCUACUAUUUUUGGAAAGUUGUCAUUUUUGUAGAAAAAUAUUGUAGAUUUGAGAUUGUGAUUAAGAAAUUAGGAUAACAAGAGUUUUUGUUGAUAGAUGUUAUAGUUUUAUAAUUUUUUAUCAAUAGGUUAUAAUUUUUUAAUAUAUUUUCCAAAACCUAUUAUUUUGGGAAAGUUAUCAUUUUUCUAUUGAAAUAUUGUAGAUUUUGGAUUGUGAUUUAGAAAUUAGGAUAACAAAAGUUUUUAUUGAUAGAUGACUAUGGUUCUAUAAUUUUUUAUCAAUAGGUUAUAAUUUU